rnacentral:rRNA from 1 species
AGGGUUUGAUUCUGGCUCAGGAUGAACGCUGGCGGCGUGCUUAACACAUGCAAGUCGAACGAAGAAGGUUAGAAUGAGAGCUUCGGCAGGAUUUCUUUCCAUCUUAGUGGCGGACGGGUGAGUAACGUGUGGGCAACCUGCCCUGUACUGGGGAAUAAUCAUUGGAAACGAUGACUAAUACCGCAUGUGGUCCUCGGAAGGCAUCUUCUGAGGAAGAAAGGAUUUAUUCGGUACAGGAUGGGCCCGCAUCUGAUUAGCUAGUUGGUGAGAUAACAGCCCACCAAGGCGACGAUCAGUAGCCGACCUGAGAGGGUGAUCGGCCACAUUGGGACUGAGACACGGCCCAA